AUUGAACGCUAGCGGGAUGCCUUACACAUGCAAGUCGAACGGCAGCGCGGACUUCGGUCUGGCGGCGAGUGGCGAACGGGUGAGUAAUGUAUCGGAACGUGCCCAGUAGCGGGGGAUAACUACUCGAAAGAGUAGCUAAUACCGCAUACGCCCUACGGGGGAAAGGGGGGGAUCGCAAGACCUCUCACUAUUGGAGCGGCCGAUAUCGGAUUAGCUAGUUGGUGAGGUAAAGGCUCACCAAGGCGACGAUCCGUAGCUGGUUUGAGAGGACGACCAGCCACACUGGGACUGAGACACGGCCCAGAAUCCUACGGGAGGCAGCAGUGGGGAAUUUUGGACAAUGGGGGAAACCCUGAUCCAGCCAUUCCGCGUGUGCGAUGAAGGCCUUCGGGUUGUAAAGCACUUUUGGCAGGAAAGAAAUCGCAUCAAUUAAUACUUGGUGUGGAUGACGGUACCUGCAGAAUAAGCACCGGCUAACUACGUGUCAGCAGCCGCGGUAA
rnacentral:rRNA from 1 species